ACUCUGAACUCUCAACCCUCGUCUUCCACUCUCCUCUGCCAUCCUCCAAAGUCCAGACUGCAGCAGCCACGAAGGAGCCUUUCUCCCCCUUAUCCCCUCCUUCUCCCUCUCCCUUUUUCGUACCCGCUCUCUCUCCAUCGUCUCCCACGCAGUGAAACAACAGCAGUAGUGCAGCACACACCAGCAGCCACCGACUCGUUGUGUCAACGUCCAUGUAUCAAUAGCCCUGUCUCGCCCUCUGUGAAGCGCAGCGCAGUCCAGCCGCCUUGUCUUCCGUCACACAGUUCUUCUAGCCUCGUCGCCUCCGUCGCAGCAUCUCCCUCAGUCGCAGCAUCUCUGUGGUCCUCUGUAAUAGAGCCUAAGCCUCAGGAAAGGAGAAGGUGAAAGAGGAAGAAUUUGUGGAAUUAGUGUACUACAUGAAAAUUUUUGGAAUCAGAUUGGUUUUAUUUCUGAUUUAGUUUGGUUCUAUUUCUGAUUCAGUCUCUUGCCUUUUUUUUUUUUUUGC